rnacentral:rRNA from 1 species
UGGCUCAGGAUGAACGCUAGCUACAGGCUUAACACAUGCAAGUCGAGGGGCAGCAUGAGAUAGCUUGCUAAUCUGAUGGCGACCGGCGCACGGGUGAGUAACGCGUAUCCAACUUCCCCCUACUCAGGCAUAGCCCGGUGAAAACCGGAUUAACUCCUGAUAGUUUCACUAGAUGGCAUCUGACGGUGAAUAAAGCUUUGCGGUAAGGGAUGGGGAUGCGUCUGAUUAGCUUGUUGGCGGGGUAACGGCCCACCAAGGCGACGAUCAGUAGGGGUUCUGAGAGGAAGGUCCCCCACAUUGGAACUGAGACACGGUCCAAACUCCUACGGGAGGCAGCAGUGAGGAAUAUUGGUCAAUGGGCGCGAGCCUGAACCAGCCAAGUAGCGUGCAAGGAAGACGGCCCUAUGGGUUGUAAACUGCUUUUGUGCGGGAAUAAAGUCAGGGACGUGUCCCUGUUUGCAUGUACCGCAAGAAUAAGGACCGGCUAAUUCCGUGCCAGCAGCUGC